rnacentral:rRNA from 1 species
UACAGAGACUGCAAGCGUUAUUCGGAUUCACUGGGCGUAAAGGGUGCGCAGGCGGCCAAGUGUGUUAGGCGUGAAAGCCCGGGGCUUUAACCCGGAAUUGCACCUAAAACUACAUGGCUAGAGCAUUGGAGAGGGUAGCGGAAUUCACGGUGUAGCAGUGAAAUGCGUAGAUAUCGUGAGGAACACCAGAGGCGAAAGGCGGCUACCUGGACAAUUGCUGACG